GACGAACGCUGGCGGCGUGCUUAACACAUGCAAGUUGAACGAGAAUUUUUCGAGUGAUUUCUUCGGAAUGAUCAUGAAAAAGGAAAGUAGCGAACGGGUGAGUAACACGUGAGAAACCUGCCUUUCACAAAGGGAUAGCCUCGGGAAACCGGGAUUAAUACCUUAUGAACCCAACCACUCGCAUGAGGGAUUGGUUAAAGAUUUAUCGGUGUUAGAUGGUCUCGCGUCUGAUUAGCUAGUUGGUGGGAUAAAAGCCUACCAAGGCAACGAUCAGUAGCCGGAUUGAGAGGUUGAACGGCCACACUGGAACUGAGACACGGUCCAGACUCCUACGGGAGGCAGCAGUGGGGAAUUUUGCACAAUGGAGGAAACUCUGAUGCAGCGACGCCGCGUGAGUGAUGAAGGUCUUCGGAUUGUAAAACUCUGUCCUUAGUGAAGAUAAUGACAGUAACUAAGAAGCAAGCCCUGGCUAAAUACGUG
rnacentral:rRNA from 1 species